UUACAGCUCUAACAUACCAUCUAAGGCUGUUCUUUCUUGUGACUUAACAUGUUUUGUUGGAUCUGAAGACAUAGCAAAGGACGUGGAAGCCUGGAAAGAUGUAACCAGUGGAAAUACUAACAUUCACCAGCUUCCAGGGGAUCACUUUUAUCUUCUGGAUCCUGCCAAUGAGAGAUUAAUCAAGAACUACGUAAUCAAGUGUCUAGAAGUAUCAUCGCUUGCCAAUUUUUAGAUAUUUUUCCUUUCACUUUUAAAAUAAUCAAAGUAAUAUGAUACUCUUUUCA